rnacentral:rRNA from 1 species
CACCGCGGUUAUACGGGAGACCCAAGUUGACAAACGUCGGCGUAAAACGUGGUUUAUUACAUUAUUACACUAAAGCUAAACCUCUUCAAGACUGUUGUACGUGUUCGAAAGAGAGAGAAUCUUCUACGAAAGUGGCUUUAAAUACUAUGAACCCACGAAAGCUAGGAAA